UAAAUCAGCAGCCUUCCUCUAUAUAAAGGAUAAACUGGUUAAGAAAGAAAUUAAGGAAACAGAGUAGUCACAAGUAAUAUAAAAUAUCUUCUGGUUACUCUAACGAAACAGGUGAAAGAUCUGUACCACAAGAAGUGCAAGUCCCUGAAGAAAGAAAUCAAAAGAAGACCCCAGAAGACCAUAAGAUCACCCAUGCUUAUGGAUUGGUUUGAAAUUCCUGCUCUGGACUCCUGAAUUUCCUGAAGACCUCCACCAAUUGCUCUGCCUGGGAAACCUUUUCAUACUCUUCAAUCCUCUGUGUUCUUUUCUGCCUACUUUUUCCGGAUCCGACCAGUCAAGGCUCAACUACCACCCAAGACAAACAGUCUCAUACAAAGUGACCAAGUCCAGUCAGCUUUGGUGCAAUGCCAUCUGCUCAGUGUUUUACUUUACUUAAUUACCUCUAUAACUGUAUUCCAACUGACUUGCAUGUAAACAUGAGGAAAAGAGCUUAUGACACACGUA